rnacentral:rRNA from 1 species
GAUGAACGCUGGCGGCGUGCCUAAUACAUGCAAGUCGAGCGAACAGAUGAGGAGCUUGCUCCUCUGACGUUAGCGGCGGACGGGUGAGUAACACGUGGAUAACCUACCUAUAAGACUGGGAUAACUUCGGGAAACCGGAGCUAAUACCGGAUAAUAUAUUGAACCGCAUGGUUCAAUAGUGAAAGACGGUUUUGCUGUCACUUAUAGAUGGAUCCGCGCCGCAUUAGCUAGUUGGUAAGGUAACGGCUUACCAAGGCAACGAUGCGUAGCCGACCUGAGAGGGUGAUCGGCCACACUGGAACUGAGACACGGUCCAGACUCCUACGGGAGGCAGCAGUAGGGAAUCUUCCGCAAUGGGCGAAAGCCUGACGGAGCCACGCCGCGUGAGUGAUGAAGGUCUUCGGAUCGUAAAACUCUGUUAUUAGGGAGGAACAAAUGUGUAAGUAACUAUGCACGUCUUGACGGUACCUAAUCAGAAAGCCACGGCUAACUACGUG